GGUGUGGCCUUGUUGGAGGAAGUGUGUCACAGGGGAUGGGCUUUGAGGUUUCAGAAGCUCAAGCCAGACCCAGUGUCACUCUCUCUUCCUGCUGCCUGCUGAUCC
ensembl:miRNA